rnacentral:rRNA from 1 species
AGUGAACGCUGGCGGUAGUCCUAACACAUGCAAGUCGAACGGCAGCACAGUAAGAGCUUGCUCUUACGGGUGGCGAGUGGCGGACGGGUGAGGAAUACAUCGGAAUCUACUUUUUCGUGGGGGAUAACGUAGGGAGACUUACGCUAAUACCGCAUACGACCUACGGGUGAAAGCAGGGGAUCUUCGGACCUUGCGCGAUUGAAUGAGCCGAUGUCGGAUUAGCUAGUUGGCGGGGUAAAGGCCCACCAAGGCGACGAUCCGUAGCUGGUCUGAGAGGAUGAUCAGCCACACUGGAACUGAGACACGGUCCAGACUCCUACGGGAGGCAGCAGUGGGGAAUAUUGGACAAUGGGCGCAAGCCUGAUCCAGCCAUACCGCGUGGGUGAAGAAGGCCUUCGGGUUGUAAAGCCCUUUUGUUGGGAAAGAAAAGCAGCAGGUUAAUACCCCGCUGUUCUGACGGUACCCAAAGAAUAAGCACCGGCUAACUUCGUG